GAUGAAGAACGCAGUGAAAUGCGAUAAGUAAUGUGAAUUGCAGAAUUCAGUGAAUCAUCGAAUCUUUGAACGCACAUUGCGCCCCUUGGUAUUCCGAGGGGCAUGCCUGUUCGAGCGUCAUUAUAACCCCUCAAGCUCAGCUUGGUGUUGGGGCCUGCUGCACUGGCAGCCCUUAAAAUCAGUGGCGGCGCCAUCUGGCUCUAAGCGUAGUAAUUCUUCUCGCUAUGGAGUCCUGGUGGAUGCUUGCCAUCAACCCCCAAUUUUUCUAUGGUUGACCUCGGAUCAGGUAGGGAUACCCGCUGAACUUAAGCAUAUCAAUAAGCGGAGG
rnacentral:misc_RNA from 1 species